GACGAACGCUGGCGGCGUGCUUAACACAUGCAAGUCGAACGGUAAGGCCCUUCGGGGUACACGAGUGGCGAACGGGUGAGUAACACGUGGGUGAUCUGCCCUGCACUUCGGGAUAAGCCUGGGAAACUGGGUCUAAUACCGGAUAGGACUCCGGACUGCAUGGUCUGGGGUGGAAAGCUUUUGCGGGGUGGGAUGGGCCCGCGGCCUAUCAGCUUGUUGGUGGGGUGAUGGCCUACCAAGGCGACGACGGGUAGCCGGCCUGAGAGGGUGACCGACCACACUGGGAAUGACGUACGGCCCAGACUCCUACGGGAGGCAGCAGUAGGGAAUAUUGCCCAAUGGGCGCAAGCCUGAUGCAGCGACGCCGCGUGAGGGAUGACGGCCUUCGGGUUGUAAACCUCUUUCAGCUAUGACGAAGCGCAAGUGACGGUAGUAGCAGAAGAAGGACCGGCCAACUACGUGCCAGCCGCCGCGGUAA
rnacentral:rRNA from 1 species